GUGACAAAUUAAACGGCCGCGGUAUUUUGACCGUGCGAAGGUAGCGCAAUCACUUGUCUCUUAAAUAGAGACCUGUAUGAAUGGUAGAACGAGGGCUUAACUGUCUCCCCCCUCAAGUCAAUGAAAUUGAUCUGCCCGUGCAGAAGCGGGCAUCAACCUACAAGACGAGAAGACCCUUUGGAGCUUAAGAUACAUAGUCACCUAUAUUAAUAGCACUUAAAACUGCUUAAAACAAAUAGCACUUGAUUAAAAUCUUUGGUUGGGGUGACCACGGGAAAAAAUAAAACUCCCACGCGGAAUGGGGCAAACCCUAAAGCCUAGAAAGACAUUCCAAAGCAUCAAAACAUUUGACCACAAAGAUCCAGCCACACGCUGAUCAACGAACCAAGUUACCCAAGGGAUAACAGCGCAAUCCCCUUCUAGAGCCCCUAUCGAAAAGGGGGUUUACGACCUCGAUGUUGGAUCAGGACAUCCUAAUGGUGCAGCCGCUAUUAAGGGUUCGUUUGUUCAACGAUUAAAGUCCU
rnacentral:rRNA from 1 species